AGUGAACGCUGGCGGUAGGCCUAACACAUGCAAGUCGAACGGCAGCACAGUAAGAGCUUGCUCUUACGGGUGGCGAGUGGCGGACGGGUGAGGAAUACAUCGGAAUCUACUUUUUCGUGGGGGAUAACGUAGGGAAACUUACGCUAAUACCGCAUACGACCUACGGGUGAAAGCAGGGGAUCUUCGGACCUUGCGCGAUUGAAUGAGCCGAUGUCGGAUUAGCUAGUUGGCGGGGUAAAGGCCCACCAAGGCGACGAUCCGCAGCUGGUCUGAGAGGAUGAUCAGCCACACUGGAACUGAGACACGGUCCAGACUCCUACGGGAGGCAGCAGUGGGGAAUAUUGGACAAUGGGCGCAAGCCUGAUCCAGCCAUACCGCGUGGGUGAAGAAGGCCUUCGGGUUGUAAAGCCCUUUUGUUGGGAAAGAAAAGCAGCAGGUUAAUAACCCGCUGUUCUGACGGUACCCAAAGAAUAAGCACCGGCUAACUUCGUG
rnacentral:rRNA from 1 species